rnacentral:lncRNA from 1 species
UCUUUUCCUGCUCCAAGAAAAGGCAAAGUGACUGGGUUGAUGGGACUCCACGGGACUAACAAUGGUUGGCCCCUGAACUGUUUUCUAAGGAUGGAAUCAGCGAAAACUGCCUGGCUUUUGUUUUGCUGGCCAGAUCAUGCAAGCUGUGAAUUGAAUUACUAGGGAAAGGAGAAAAAUAGUUGAGAGGCAGUGUUGGGAAUGUUAGGCUGAAGGAAAAACAAAGAGAACUAGAAGACGUCGGGGCCCAUAGUGGAACUUUGAGAAAUGAACAGAUGCGUUUAAAAGGCUCCCAUCCUGGUUCCCACAUUACACUGAGUCAUCAUGUCUCCAUAGGCUCCUCCUGGCUGUGACUGUUUCUCAGAUUUUUCUUGUUUUUGGUUGCCUUGAGAGUUGUCAGCGGUAAUGGUCAGGUAUUUCAUAAAAUAUCCCUGAAUUGGGUUUGACUGAUGUUUUUUGUGAUUAGACUGAAGUUAUGGGUUUGGGGAAAAAGACCACAGAGGUAAAGUGUCAUUUUCAUCACAUCAUAUCAAAGGCACAUGCCAUCAGCAUGAUUUAUCACUGUGAUACUGACCUUGAGCACCUGGCUGAAGUUGUGUUUUGUCAGGUUUCUUCACUGUUAAGUUACCAUUCUAACCCCCUACCCUUCCUUUAUACUGUGGUUUUUGGAGGGAAGUCACUAUGCACAACUCAUGCUUAUGGAGGGGCAGUUAUGCUCCACCUAAGUGAAAGCAAAAUAUCUAUAUAACUAUUUGGAAUUCUUCUGCACAGAAGAUUGUCUUUUGUGCCCCAUUUAUUUAUUUGUUCAGUCAUUUAUUUAUAUCAGUAUGUAUCAUAGAUAUUGAUUUUAGACUUUGUCUAUAAUCUAAUACCACCUAACUUAGUUGCUCACAUUGUUUCAGCCUGGCCUCCUGGGAGCUCUUUUGGUUUGCUUCUGUAUCCUUCAGCAUACUGUUAUUAUUGUGGGCUUCUUUUUAAAGCAUUUUCUUACUUUUUGAUAAUGCAAGAUGCUCCAGGAUCAUCUUGUAUAUUCCGGUCCCAGUCCUAGAAUCAAACAUUUCUCCACAGAGUCCUGGCUCCUUGUACUAGAAAAUAGCAUUUAGAAACCAAGAUCUAGGUGCUAGGUGUGCUCAUUGCUACUGAAUGUUAUUUCAUUUAGAUUCUAUAGUUGACAGAGCAAGGAAAUGUAUGUGUGUGUAUUAAUGUGUUUAUAUACACAUAUCUAUAAAUAUUUCUAUGUGUAACCAUCUAUUUGUAACCAUUUCUAUAGUGUAACCAACUAUAUCAAGCUAAACAUGAAUUUAUAUUGACGUCUACAACUCUAAUUAAUUACUGAAUGGAUCAUUCUCAUCUUCUCCUCUUGCUUGUUUGUAA